UGGGGAGUCGUUCAAUGGUAGGACAUGCGGCUCUGGACCGCAGAAUCGGGGUUCGAGUCCCUGCUCCCCAGCAA
rnacentral:tRNA from 1 species